UGGGGAAUCUUGGACAAUGGGGGCAACCCUGAUCCAGCCAUGCCGCGUGAUCGAUGAAGGCCUUAGGGUUGUAAAGAUCUUUCAGCUGGGAAGAUAAUGACGGUACCAGCAGAAGAAGCCCCGGCUAACUCCGUGCCAGCAGCCGCGGUAAUACGGAGGGGGCUAGCGUUGUUCGGAAUUACUGGGCGUAAAGCGCACGUAGGCGGACCAUCAAGUUGGGGGUGAAAUCCCGGGGCUCAACCCCGGAACUGCCUCCAAGACUGCUGGUCUGGAGGUCGAGAGAGGCGAGUGGAAUUCCGAGUGUAGAGGUGAAAUUCGUAGAUAUUCGGAGGAACACCAGUGGCGAAGGCGGCUCGCUGGCUCGAUACUGACGCUGAGGUGCGAAAGCGUGGGGAGCAAACAGG
rnacentral:rRNA from 1 species